UACGUAGGGUGCGAGCGUUAAUCGGAAUUACUGGGCGUAAAGCGUGCGCAGACGGUUCGUUAAGUCAGAUGUGAAAGCCCCGGGCUCAACCUGGGAACUGCAUUUGAAACUGGCGGGCUUGAGUAUGGCAGAGGGGGGUGGAAUUCCGCGUGUAGCAGUGAAAUGCGUAGAGAUGCGGAGGAACACCGAUGGCGAAGGCAGCCCCCUGGGCCAAUACUGACGCUCAGGCACGAAAGCGUGGGGAGCAAACAGG
rnacentral:rRNA from 1 species